ACAGUACUCCAUCUGUUCCAUAAUUCUUGUCGAAAUAUUACAUGUAUCUAAAUGCUUUUUAGGAAUAGACACAUCCAAUUUUUGGCAAAUUUGAGACAAGAAUUAUGGAACGGAGGAAGUAUUCC
rnacentral:pre_miRNA from 1 species